CAAAUUUGAAAUCCCCCCGGGGAGUUGUAAUUUGAAGAUUGCGUCUUGGAGGCGACCGUGUCUAUGUUCCUUGGAACAGGACGUCACAGAGGGUGAGAAUCCCGUGCGGCACGGCCCCCGGCUCCUUAUAAGGCGCUCUCGACGAGUCGAGUUGUUUGGGAAUGCAGCUCAAAGUGGGUGGUAAAUUCCAUCUAAAGCUAAAUACAGGCGAGAGACCGAUAGCGAACAAGUACAGUGAUGGAAAGAUGAAAAGCACUUUGAAAAGAGAGUGAAACAGCACGUGAAAUUGUUGAAAGGGAAGGGCAUGCCGUCAGAUUGUCAGUGUGGGUAAGAAGCGGGGUACAAAGACUGUGGAACGUGGCCCUCGGGUGUUAUAGCCGCAGUUCAUGCCCCGUCUCUUUCCGAGGCCUGCUUUGAGGACACCGACGUAAUGACGGUACGCCGCCCGUCUUGA
rnacentral:rRNA from 1 species